rnacentral:rRNA from 1 species
UACAGGGGGUGCAAACGUUGCUCGGAAUCAUUGGGCGUAAAGCGCACGUAGGCGGUUCGUUAUGUCGGAUGUGAAAGCCCUUGGCUUAACCGAGGAAGUGCAUCCGAAACUGGCGAGCUAGUGUACUAAAGAGGAUCGCGGAAUUCCCGGUGUAGAGGUGAAAUUCGUAGAUAUCGGGAGGAACACCGGUGGCGAAGGCGGCGAUCUGGGUAGAUACUGACGCUGAGGUGCGAAAGCGUGGGGAGCAAACAGG